rnacentral:rRNA from 1 species
UAGAUAGCUUAACCUUUCGGGGAGGGCGUUUACCACGGUGUGGUUCAUGACUGGGGUGAAGUCGUAACAAGGUAGCCCUAGGGGAACCUGGGGCUGGAUCACCUCCUUACCU